rnacentral:lncRNA from 1 species
UCAUUGAAAUAACAAAGUUAGUCUCAAAAUCACAACACAAUAAGCAUUCGAAAUCGAUAUUUUUACCAAAGUUAUGUUGCUACUGUUGUUUGUUGCUGUUGAAGAGUUGAAGGGUUUGUUACUCGGUUUCGUUGGUUGUGGAAGCACAAUGGAAAAAAAAGGCGGAGUUGCUCAAACUCAAGUUGUUCCGGAAACAUAAUUUCCAAGUUAUGUUUGUUAUUAU